AUCUCAUUGUAAUCCCAUGUGUAUGACGUUUAUGACCUUUACUCCAGCAGCUGCUGCAGGGCUUCCGGGGUCAACAGCUUGCACAUAACAAGGAGCCACGCCUCUAAGGACAAAGCCCCAACCGAGGGCAUCACCUGUAACCUGCAAUCAUGGGUUGCAUCUUAUGACUGGGGUUGAAGACAGCUGAACAAUAGGGGGAAAUCCUGCAGAGUGAAGCUGAAGGGAAUUCAAGCUGCCUCGACGGCCACUUGUCACCCUUUUCAGCUUGGAGCGGAUGGCUGAGUAGUGGUGUUGGCGCUCUUUGGUCAGAUUCCUGAGGCUGUUCUUCAGGGUGCCAGCUGGAGCUGCCUGGGUGGGGAUGAUCAGCCUGAGAGAGGAGGCCUUGUUCUGGCGGAGUGUGAGAUUUGGGUCCUGCGUGAGUUGGAGACUCCUCUGCUGGGGGAAUCAGAACACAGGCCAGGAUUUCUUCUUGCAUUCGCCGCUGAUCCAACCAGGCCUCGCCAAUAGUAGAAGUGUUUGAUGCUCCGCUGUUGCUUUGACCCACCUCUGGAGCGGAGCCCUCACAGGGAGGCUGGAAGGAUGAAGUGCUGAUUUUAUGGCCUGGUGUGCUGGUCAGAAACACUUGCUCCAAGGACCUCACCCUGCUCAGGUCCUCGGAUAUUCAAGGGAAGAGACUGUGCAUAAAGAAUCCGGAACUCUUCGUCAAACUUUUCUGUUAUUUGACCAGAAAGCUCGAUUAAGUUGCUGGUGUUCAAUUUGCCAUCAGUCCAGUUGAACCUUCACACAAAAAGAUUAAGAUUGAAGGAUAGUUCAAUAAAGAUGAAGAUUUUUCUACUACACUUUCCAUUAAAACAAAAACUUAUGGUAUUAUUUUUGUGGUCCGGCCCAUUUGACAUCAAAUUCGACUGUAAGUGGCCCCUGAACUACAAGAGUGUGACACCCCUGUGCUCGAUGACUCUGACAUGUCUCUAUGCUUGCCUGUUUCCCCUUAGCGAUUAAAACAACAACAACAACAAAAUACUGUAAUACAUUUCAACUAAAUAUCAAAGACGAUAUUGGAUCCAAGAGAACAAAAUGUAAUUAGACCCAAAAUGUGAGCAAAACAAAUUCUAUUUUUUUCUGAUGAGAUCUGAAAAGUGGGAAAGUGGGGUUUUCCAUGUUAAAGUCAAAUUACUUCCAAAUGUGCAAUCUAGAUCAAAAUCAGAUGAACUUGGUUGGACAGCUUCUGACCAUUCAUAAUUCUAUCACUUUUUAAACACUAAAUGUUUCUUUUUUCAGUUUAUUGUAUUUUUUUAUAUUAUUAAAGUUUAAAUCAAUUUCUA